rfam:Erysiphe necator strain c c-strain-scaffold_5411, whole genome shotgun sequence.
GUCGCGAUGCCAGAGUGGUUAAUGGGUUAGACUUGAAUCUACCAAUCGGGUAAAUCGAUAUCUAAUGGCUUCGGCCGCGUAGGUUCAAAUCCUGCUCGCGACG